rnacentral:rRNA from 1 species
UACGGGGGGGGCAAGCGUUGUUCGGAAUUACUGGGCGUAAAGGGCUCGUAGGCGGCCAACUAAGUCGGACGUGAAAUCCCCAGGCUCAACCUGGGAACUGCGUCCGAUACUGGAUGGCUUGAAUUCGGGAGAGGGAUGCAGAAUUCCAGGUGUAGCGGUGAAAUGCGCAGAUAUCAGGAGGAACACCGAUGGCGAAGGCAGAUCUCUGGGCCGUAACUGACGCUGAGGAGCGAAAGCAUGGGGAGCGAACAGG